GAUGAACGCUGGCGGCGUGCCUAAUACAUGCCAGUCGAGCGAACGGACGAGAAGCUUGCUUUUCUGAUGUUAGCGGCGGACGGGUGAGUCACACGUGGAUAACCUACCUAUAAGACUGGGAUAACUUCGGGAAACCGGAGCUAAUACCGGAUAAUAUUUUGCACCGCAUGGUUCAAAAGUGAAAGACGGUCUUGGUGUCACUAAUAGCUGGAUCCGCGCUGCAUUAGCUAGUUGGUAAGGUAACGGCUUACCAAGGCAACGAUGCAUAGCCGACCUGAGAGGGUGAUCGGCCACACUGGAACUGAGACGCGGUCCAGACUCCUACGGGAGGCAGCAGAGGGAAUCUUCCGCAAUGGGCGAAAGCCUGACGGAGCAACGCCGCGUGAGUGAUGAAGGUCUUCGGAUCGUAAAACUCUGUUAUGAGUGAAGAACAUAUGUGUAAGUAACUGUGCACAUCUUGACGGUACCUAAUCAGAAAGCCACGGCUAACUACGUG
rnacentral:rRNA from 1 species